rnacentral:rRNA from 1 species
GCUCAGGAUGAACGCUGGCGGCGUGCCUAAUACAUGCAAGUCGAGCGAACGGACGAGAAGCUUGCUUCUCUGAUGUUAGCGGCGGACGGGUGAGUAACACGUGGAUAACCUACCUAUAAGACUGGGAUAACUUCGGGAAACCGGAGCUAAUACCGGAUAAUAUUUUGAACCGCAUGGUUCAAAAGUGAAAGACGGUCUUGCUGUCACUUAUAGAUGGAUCCGCGCUGCAUUAGCUAGUUGGUAAGGUAACGGCUUACCAAGGCAACGAUGCAUAGCCGACCUGAGAGGGUGAUCGGCCACACUGGAACUGAGACACGGUCCAGACUCCUACGGGAGGC